rnacentral:rRNA from 1 species
UACGUAGGUGGCAAGCGUUGUCCGGAUUUAUUGGGUUUAAAGGGUGCGUAGGCGGUCUAUUAAGUCAGUUGUGAAAUACGGCAGCUCAACUGUCGAGGUGCAAUUGAUACUGAUGGACUUGAGUACUGAUGAGGUAAGCGGAAUGGACGGUGUAGCGGUGAAAUGCGUAGAUAUCUGGAGGAACACCGGUGGCGAAGGCGGCAUCCUGGACCGGCAUUGACGCUGAGGCGCGAAAGCCAGGGGAGCAAACGGG